rnacentral:rRNA from 1 species
AUGAAAGAGAAUAGUUCUGUCAGUGAACAUAUACUCAAAAUGUCUGGGUAUAAUAAUCACUUGAUUCAACUGGGAGUUAAUCUUCCUGAUGAUAGUGUCAUUGAUAGAAUUCUUCAAUCACUGCCACUAAGCUACAAGAGCUUCGUGAUGAACUAUAAUAUGCAAGGGAUGGACAAGACUAUUUCCGAGCUCUUUGCAAUGCUAAAAGCUGCGGAGGUAGAAAUCAAAAAGGAGCAUCAAUUGUUGAUGGUCAAUAAGACCACCAGUUUCAAGAAAAAGGUAAAGGGAAGAAGAAGGGGAACUUCAAGAAGAACAGCAAACAAGUUGCUGCUCAAGAGAAGAAACCCAAAUCUGGUCCUAAGUCGGAGACUGAAUGCUUCUACUGCAAGCAGACUCGAUAUUGGAAGCGGAACUGCCCCAAGUAUUUGGCGGAUAAGAAGGAUGGCAAGGGACUACGGAUUAAGCGAAGAUUGGCUAAGGACGAGGUGA